UAGGGAAUCUUCGGCAAUGGGGGCAACCCUGACCGAGCAACGCCGCGUGAGUGAAGAAGGUUUUCGGAUCGUAAAGCUCUGUUGUAAGAGAAGAACGUGUGUGAGAGUGGAAAGUUCACACAGUGACGGUAACUUACCAGAAAGGGACGGCUAACUACGUGCCAGCAGCCGCGGUAAUACGUAGGUCCCGAGCGUUGUCCGGAUUUAGUGGGCGUAAAGCGAGCGCAGGCGGUUUAAUAAGUCUGAAGUUAAAGGCAGUGGCUUAACCAUUGUUCGCUUUGGAAACUGUUAAACUUGAGUGCAGAAGGGGAGAGUGGAAUUCCAUGUGUAGCGGUGAAAUGCGUAGAUAUAUGGAGGAACACCGGUGGCGAAAGCGGCUCUCUGGUCUGUAACUGACGCUGAGGCUCGAAAGCGUGGGGAGCAAACAGG
rnacentral:rRNA from 1 species